rnacentral:rRNA from 1 species
GACGAACGCUGGCGGCGUGCUUAACACAUGCAAGUCGAACGGAAAGGCCCUGCUUUUGUGGGGUGCUCGAGUGGCGAACGGGUGAGUAACACGUGAGUAACCUGCCCUUGACUUUGGGAUAACUUCAGGAAACUGGGGCUAAUACCGGAUAGGAGCUCCUGCUGCAUGGUGGGGGUUGGAAAGUUUCGGCGGUUGGGGAUGGACUCGCGGCUUAUCAGCUUGUUGGUGGGGUAGUGGCUUACCAAGGCUUUAACGGGUAGCCGGCCUGAGAGGGUGACCGGCCACAUUGGGACUGAGAUACGGCCCAGACUCCUACGGGAGGCAGCAGUGGGGAAUAUUGCACAAUGGGCGGAAGCCUGAUGCAGCAACGCCGCGUGCGGGAUGACGGCCUUCGGGUUGUAAACCGCUUUCGCCUGUGACGAAGCGUGAGUGACGGUAAUGAGUAAAGAAGCACCGGCUAACUACGUG